ACUCUUGCAUUUAAACAAAUCUGUGGGCAAAAGAACUUUGCAAGAUAGUGUAGCAUAGCACACUACCUUGGGCUUUUGAAAUCCACACAGUAGUUGAACUGGAAAUCUAAGAUAGGUCCUGAGUGAUGUCUGGUUGUAAAUAGAUUAGUUUGUUCUACUGACUCUCUGAAUGAGAUAUCCUGACAGAAGGAUGUCAUCUAAUCAGCUACAUGAAGCAGCAACAAGCUUGGUCAGGAACAGCUCAGUACCUCCACACUGCUCUGCAUGUCGCAGGGGACAUUGUAAAUAUACUCUAACUACAAUGGAUGUCACCAAGAAACAAGAGACUAAGCUGGGAAUCCUGCGUGGAGUUUUACAGGAAAGAGAUGGGCAAAGUCCCUAGUGCUCCUAGGUAAGCAGUGGCUGGGAUGGAGGAACUUCUCCUGCUCCAGGAGCCAGGGAAGUCUUACGAAGGACUGAAAAAAGUGCUUUCCAAAUGGUCUGAUAAUGGUCUAUGUGCAAGGAACUAAGGAAUAAUUUAUCUCUUUUCAUGCUGUUUGCCAGUAACUGCUGAGUUACACGAUGCAUUUGGUUCCUCCUUACAAAAGCAGUUUUAUGAUCAAUCAUUAAGCUAGUCCACUCCUUGCUUGGUCUUCAUAUUAUGGUGCACCAGUGUCAUACUUCUAAGUUUUUCAAGAUAGAAGAUUUUUGUGUGUGGAAGAAAAACACAAGAAAGAUGAUAAGGAAGAGCAAGAGAAAUGUGAACUUCAUGAGAUAAUUCUUCAUGUAGGCAUUUCUUUUGUCUUAUAAAAAUAUACCACUUAAGAUCUGGCUGCAAAAGCUCAUAACCCCGUUGACAUAUAUAUCUCAAUUAAAAUCAAGAGAUUGGCAUCAUUGCAAAAUUGCUGCAGUUAGAAUAAAAAUCAGUUCAUCUAUGUAUUUUUAUUUAUUUCUAUGAAGGGCACUAUAACUAUAAACUCUGUAUGUCUUACAAAUAUUCAGACUUAUUGGGUAAGGAAAAUGUUGCUGUCUUCAAUUGCAAAACAACGUGACUGACAGAAGGAAAAAGAAAGCUGAAGGCCAAGGAGAAAGUUAGUGACAGAACUGAGAAUAGAAAGAAGGGCUCUGCUGCUUUGUGCACUCCCGCUUUUACUAAGUCAGUAGGAAUCUCAGAACUAAAAUUUCACAUGAACUCAUAGUUUGCUAGACAUAAGUCACACAAAGAAGAUCAAAUAACACCAUUAUUUUCUUCUGUGUAGAAUCCUAGAAGGAAAUAAGGUUAUUUUAUUACCAGAGCGUGAUUCUAUUUCACAUAACAAAAAUUUCACUUCAGGUGAUCGUACCUCCAUCCCUGCAAAAUGCCAGACUGGAUGUGGCCCUGACUAGCCUGGUCUAGUGGGUAAUGAUCCUGCCAUGGGUUGAAACUAGAUGAUUUUUGAGGUCCUUUUCACUGCUUUUGAAGCGUUUUGAAAAUAUCCUUGCAUUUAAUGUGGCAGCAGGCUCAAAGCACUGGUCAGAAGAAAGCACCAAGAUACAUCUAUAGCAAAUGCAUGGUAGUUUUACAGUUUUUGGCUUGCAUUUGUUUCAGAGAGCUUUUCUGAACUGAUUGUUUGUUCCAAAGAUGGAAAAACAGUCCCUGGCCACCUCAUUUUUGGCAAGUAGCUGGUGAAGGCCUUUCAGUUUGGCCAGAGACUAAGUAGCAUUCAGAGAAAUAUCACAUGCUGGGCAGGAGCUUAUAGGGCUUAAUAACAGAGGAGAGUACACAUUCCUGUUUGUCAUCUGGCUUCAUUAUAUCAGGUAAUUCUGGAGCACAGGCCUGACUAUCAAAUUACAACCACUCAUUUUCUUGCAUAUUUGACACAGUUCCUGAUGCAGGUAUUGUUCAUGGUAGCUGCGAUCUUUCCAGACAUAUCAUGGGCAUUUUGAGGAGAUUUAAUGUAAACCAAAUGUUAUUUCCAGUAAACAGCCCUUGUGUCUUAUAGGGUCAGAGUUAAGCAACAUGGAAAUGGGCUGUGUUGAGGCAAUCAAACGCAGGACUAGAGUAGGUAUCUUGGAGCAUUUUAUUUACAAACAUAGGUAAAAACUCUGGGAUAGUAAUAAAUCUCAGUGUCCAUUUUAUUUCUUCCAGAUAUUCAUAACCUUUCUUUUCUGAACUAUUAAUUCUUGAUGAACCAGAGGUUUAAAGCUAUAUGGCAUGACAAGUAAUAUUUUUUGAGUGUAUGUUUUACUCACUGCUUCCAUUAGAUGCUUGUCAAGUGUUCACUGCCUUAAAGGUAAACUUGAAGAA